UCACAGAAAAAAAAAUUGUGAACAGAGAGUAGACGCGUCAAAAAUUUUUGGAACUAAUAAUUUAAUAAGUGAUAUCCUAUUAAUAUAAAUACAAAUGAGUAAUGGUGGAAGUGCUGGGGGACUGGGCGGAACACGUCCUCCACCGCGCAUCGAUGGCAUGGUAUCGCUGAAGGUCGACAAUCUCACAUAUCGCACCACUCCAGAGGACUUGCGUCGUGUCUUUGAGCGUUGCGGAGAAGUGGGUGAUAUUUACAUACCGCGGGACCGCUACACACGUGAGAGCCGUGGCUUUGCUUUCGUGCGCUUCUAUGACAAACGUGAUGCUGAAGACGCACUUGAGGCCAUGGAUGGUCGCAUGUUAGAUGGCAGGGAGCUCCGUGUCCAGAUGGCUCGCUAUGGCCGUCCCUCGUCGCCCACACGCAGCAACGGUCGUCGUGGUGGAGGAUCUGGUGGUGGUGGUGGCGGCGGAGGAGCUGGUGGUGGAGGUGCAGGCGGUCGUCGUCGCUCACGUUCCCGUUCACCGAUGCGCCGCCGUUCGCGUAGUCCUCGUCGUCGCUCCUACUCGCCGCGCUCGCGCUCUCAGUCGGCUGGCAGCCAUUCACCGGAGCGUCGCACCAAGUUCUCGCGCAGUCCAGUGCGUGGCGAGAGUCGCAACGGGAUCGGAGCAUCCGCCUUGGCUGUGGGAGCCUCGCGUAGUCGCAGUCGCUCUUAGUAUUCACGUUCCAAUUGGUGCGAGCUUUGCAGUUUUUACUCGCCUGACAAGAGAGAUCCCGAUUCAUAGAUCUAGCUCCACAUCCUGUCAUGCUGUACCAGAACAGCAGGCAAAUUGGUGUGUGGCAGUGUUGCGGUUGAGAAUAAUGUUAUGGUUAUUGCGAGGGAGGAGAGGAGGAGGAGGAGAUCUAUCAGAUCAGAUCGGUGAUCGGAUUAUCGGAGUUCGGAUCCGAUCAGCACGAGGCAUCAGAGCAUCUUCUUCUUCCCCCCGUCCAGCGCUAGCAGAGAGACAACACGACACGCCACGAGAGCGGACAUCGCGUAGCUGUUGUUGCUGUGUUGCCGUUGGCGUUUCCUGUCAGCCGCUGUCGCCGCCACCACCGCGCCGCUGCUACUGCUACCGCUGCUGCUGUUUGCCGUUUGCCGUUGCUGCUGCCGUGCUGCACACUCUCGAUCAGAGUGGGAGAUAAAGAAGGGAUAGACUAUAUGAUAGACUGUUUCCUUGGCUGUUUGCCGUUAGCCGUUUGCCGGUUCCGGUUUCCUGUUUCUUCACUUCUCUCGUCCCGUCGUUUGUUGCUGGUUGCCGCCGUUUGCUGAUUGGCGUAGUUGGUGUCUUUCCUGUGUUGCCGCUUGGCGUUUGGUGGGCGUCCAUUUUAAGUUUAGGCGAAUAAACAGAUUUCCAGCAAAGCCGCUGCAAUGGAGACACCUUGGACUCGGCAAAACGGAAAGCUCUUGCACCUGGACUUGGCCUGGAUUUGCAUCCUCACACAUCUGAUGCGGGUGGUAAGUGGCAAUAUAUCAAAGACUAACAUUUACCAUUACAUUGCAGCUCAAAGAAAUAUACAAUAAAAUCAAAUUUAUCUACAA